AUAUAUACAACCUGUAUAUAAGUAAAUAUUCAAAUGUACAAACGUGAUGUGUAUUUCCGUAAGAUGAAGACGCGAGUGUAUCCAAAGGACUCCAAAGAUUUAUGUAAGACUACGUCCGAUACUGGUCAAAGGUUGAUAUUAUGCGCGCACAUAAAUGGUUUAUGCAUAAUUUGUUCUUUGUAAACAUACACAUAAUAUAGAAAGAGGAGAGAAAAAACGACGAAAUUUCAUUCUGGUAAGCGUGACGUCUGCCGUAGUCGCCUUCGACGUAAUUCCCUCUCCCCGUCUGCUUCCACGUCCCAGAUGAGAACGUCUCUAUGGUACGAACGAACGACACAGCACACCGAAAGAUCCUUGGAGCAUACGUAUAUAUUAGGGAUGUGCGAUAUCGCAUCUCCCGAACGUCUCGGGGCUCUGGCAUGUGAACCCCUUUGCAAUUGGCAACUAAGACAAAUGCGGCGGCACAGAAAUUGGCCGUAGCAGCAAAGCCGCUAGGCAGCGGUGUGCCAACCUCGAGUUAUUCGCAUAGUCGGCCUCCGCUAUUCCGCACCGCGCUCCGCGACGUCGGCGUCGGCGUCGCAGCCACAGCCGCAGCCGUCGAGACGUUGCAGCCUUAUUCAUAGAAUAAAGAAGCAAAGUGACUUGAAUAAGUGGCGGAGUUACGGGUGGCUUUGGCGACGGCUAUAAAAUGAGGUAAAGAAGGUAAAGGAGACUGUGGACGAAAAUGCACUGAGGGCGAACAUAGAAGAUCUUGACCAAUGCACUGUGAAGGAGUGGGAACACGAUGAUCUUUUAUCAAUGGAAUGUUUAUAUAUAGAUAUACGAAUCGUACGUGUGGAUGUAAACAUAAAUGACGAAGAUCAGAGAAUGGACUGAGAUCGAUCUAAUUUAUUGGUACUCUCCAAUACGGUACGUUCGCACACGUAUGCAGGAUAUUAGCGUCCGAAGGCACGUGGAGCAGGAUUCCUCGUGUGAAAUAAGAAAACACGUGUACGAGCGAUUUCAAUUUUUUCAGUCUCAAUUUUGAGACAAGUGACAUUAAGAUUAAAGACUAGAACAAUUACUAAAAUACAUUCUGAAACGAGGCAGACACGUGGGAUCUGUGGUUGUUAAUAACGUUAUAAAGAAUGUAAAUGCGAAUAAAGGAGACAGUGGCUAGAGGAAGAAACGAUCGUAAAUGGGCUGCGACAUACUCUGAAACCGUCCAUCUCAAAGCUGGUAGGCUGAUGCUAGCAAAUAAAAAUGUAAAAUCGUUUGGUAAUUUAAAUAAAUAAAUAUAAAAACCUUGAAAAUCGAUUGUUUUUACUUUCGAUCGAGAAUUCAAGUCUGCCAUCCAAGUGCGUUCAAUCCUGGACUCCCUAUAGACACGUUGGCAUGCGUGACUAGGUAUAGUGAGGAAACGUAGAUUCUCUGGCGAAGCCAAAAGCCACGAAAAGAAGACACUAGGGAAUUAUAUUUAGAUGGAGCACGUGGCGGCCCGGGAACGCCGCACAAAGCUUAUGGCGGUACCUGUUGCCCCGCAGCCAGUACCCGUCCUCCCGAACUAGUGACAAACCGUUCGAAACCGUCUGUGGCUGUUGCCAUUCCGUCACCCCGAUUACCCACCACAACGUACACCACCCUCUAUCCAACCCCUUCUGCCCCCCUGGACUCCCAUCCCAUUCCAUGUCCCAGAUCCUGCGACAACGGCUAUCUACGAGCUCUACUUGUUGGCCGCGAUCCAGUUCUUUUUAACCAGAUUUCGUGAAAGAAAGGAAGAAAAAGAAAUAGAAGAGAAUUGGAAUAGAAACCCUGCUACCAAUGAUACCAACGCUAUAGCUGUUAUAUCGGUACCAGCAGCAGCAACAGCCUUGUCUCUGGACCAAGAUACUCCGUUUCCAUCGUAUACAAGUAACGUCGGUCACGAGGACGUCGCUUCGUACAAUUUGCUGAAUCCGUGAAGCCGAUCCGUGGAUCGAAGAUCGGGGAUCUACGUGCCUCGAGGGGACGUUGCGUAACGAUCAGUGAAAUUACAUAAAGGAGAAGCGCGCCCGAGCGCGAAUCAGCGCAGCUGCUCGAAGAGAGAGUAUGCGAGAGGAAGAGAGAAAAAAGGAAGCGUACAGUCGGUGUCCCUGAAGUCAACGAAAUUUUAGAAAGGCCUUUAACGUCAGACUCUGCAACCUGUUCACUGUGGUACCAGUCGGAUAACGUACUUUCACCAUUGCAAGGCUGACCGGGUCAAUCGGAGUCAAUCACGAUGAAGCUCAGCCAUAAUCUUACUGAUCUUUUGGUACGGAUGAGAAAAGUGCUAAAAGGAUUGAAGUGCUACGGCAAGCCAUGAGGAUAUUCUGAAGAAGGAUCUUCAUUCUGCAUCUAUACAUAUAUAUGUACAUACCACGUGCUGUACAGACAUAUAGGUAUAUGCAUCAGUUUGAAUCUGAGUGUCUGAUGCAAUUAUUAUUAACCCAGUUGGAGAUAGUCAGCCGGCAGGACCUGCCAACGUAUCUAUCUAGUGUAAACUCGCCCGUACGUUAUACCGUCUAGCGUGUACCGAUAUGUAUAUGCCGGAUAGCCGGUCUCUAAGAAUUAGAAAAUCGUAAAGAUCUGGACGAGUACGACUGGGUAAGCCAAGUUAUUGAAAUACGUAUACUGCGAGUAUACAUAUAACGACUCGGUCUAAUCUGUGUGACGAUAAAACUUUCCUAAGAACGACAAGGAGAAGAAAGGCGAAUCCUGACGAAAUAAAGUAUUAACUGGAA